AUGUACAGCGGACGAUAGAACAUAUUUUAUUUUUAAUAACACCUUAUUUUUUCUAAGAAUAUUGUAGUUUUUCAAUUUUAUAUAUAUAAAUUACAAAAAUACCCACUAAAAGGCAAAACUUUUAGAUUUUAGGGAACUCAUUAAAUGCGUGUUUAAUAUUUGCCCAUGCAAUCCAAGACUUCUGUCAGGGUUUAUUUAUCAGGGUUUAUUAUGGAACCAAAUAAGUUGAAAAUUCAAAUUGUUGAUUGUAUAUUUUAGGUGCACGUAGUACGUAGUUGUUGUUAUGAGCACGCAUUUUAAAUAUCAAAACGAUCUGAACAUAGGCACAGAAAUCGAAAGCUCUUUCUGUGUGGGGCAGAGAAAGCCUCAGUGCGCAUGUCACUCGAGUACACACCCCCUUAGCCAUCGCAUUUUAGUGUUUCAAACUGAACAAUCAAGACCUUUAGCAUCGUAGUUAUUCGAAGAUUGUUACGAAACAAGUUGACUUUUACACAUUUUGUAAAGUAUGAUAUCAAAAAUAUAUUUAACAUUGGAGUUUGUGACAUCUGCAGUCCGGUGGUCAAUGCAAGACCGUGGAAAGUGCUAAAAACAAUAAGUUUGUGACGUGUUAUUCCGUAAUGUUUUGAGCGCUGUUGCUAUACAUCACAAAUCGGCGACUUGGAACCCCGUGUAUGUUUACGACUUCAUACCAGUGAAUACCACCAAAGUGCAGAAUAAUAUUGAUGUUACUAUUACGCACUUAAAGCUUAUCAGAGUUGUAUAUUGAGUCAGUGUUGUAUUUUGCUCGAGUUGAGAAAUUUAAACAAUGAGUGCUCGUGUAAUAUUUAAAUUCAUUACAGACCGAUUGAGUGUGGUGGGGUAUGCCAUGCUCUCUAUAGUAUGUGAGCCAUUUGCAUGUAUCAUUGUUUGGCUAAAGAAUUUAAUGGAACGGGCAUUGGAGAGCCGAUGUUUUGCUACAAAGCGAGACAAAAAGGAAGACGCAUGCAUUAAAAGUUCAUUAAACAGCUCGAGUCGUCAAGACAGAGACCUAAAGCCAAUUGAAAUUACGAAAAAGUCUAGAAGUGCAUUGGAAAUGGACUGGAAUGAUUUUUGAACAGGCACUUGUGUCCAUGAUACCUACAGUCUCUUCAAAGGUAUCACAAGAUUACCAAAGUCUUUUGCUGUCGAAAGUGUAAAGUUUGUUAUAUUAUAUGCUGUCGUCGAACAGAAGCUUCAGUCUGUUGCUGUGUUCCAACACGACGAGCUGUUUGAAAUUUUGAAAUAAGACUUCUUUGAAUGCAAGACUACUUCCUCUUUCCAUUGCAAUAAGGGAAGUGGCUGAGUAUAAUAUACAUCUUAAUAAUUUUAAAAUUAGUGUUAGAGAUGUAAACUUCUCUAAAGUAGCUAAGUAAGUUUUAAUCAUACCAAUACUAUAAAAAUGUACAUAUAUUUUCCGAAGAGAAAAAUUAUCGUGAACGAAUAUUAUAAAAUAUGUAUAUAUUUAUCUCUUAAGAAUCCUAAAAACUUAUUACAUAGCCUAACAAAACUGUUUACGCAAGUAACGAUAUUACCCGCAGUAAGAAGUAUUUAUAAAAAGUGCAGGCCGGUAAGUAGGUAUGAGAACUGUGAGGUCCAUAUCUGAGCUGUAGCUGGUAGGUACAGAUAUCAUAAUCCAGAGAGUUUAUUUCUGCACAGCUCGCAUUUGCAAAAUUUAGCUUAAAAUGUACGUGUUUCACUUGUAUGAAAAGUAAUGAUGAAUUUAAGAAAUUUAUCUAAAAAUGAUAAGUCUCUUUUUGGCAUAGUCGGGAGUCGGAUAAGCAACUUUGUAUUUUUUAUGCUGUUUAUUAAAAUGACUUUUACUAUAUUCCUCCUCUUGUUAAUACUGUUAUAAUUAAUUAGUGUAUUAAUUAACUUGAAGCUAUUCCUGAUCCGUAAAUUUACUUAACAUCUAAAAGAUGAGAUUUUAUAAAUAUACUUCAAAUUCAGGCAAAAUCCAGAAUUAUAUUUAAGUGUACAGAAUUCGAUUUUCAUAUUUUGCUUAGCAACUCCGUCCAGCGCCUCUGUGUCAGUAAACAGAUAUUUGUAUUCUUAAGUCAGUCCGUUUGUACGUGCCAUUUUCUUACUAACUAUUAAAACAUUCACUUUCGACAGCGUAUGUUAUGUUGUUAUUUCCAAAUUUGAUGCUCAAUACUUUUAACGGUAUCGAAAUGAUUUUAACCUACUGGCGGCAUAAUCAACCUCAAAUAUACGAGAAUUAUCACGUUAUGAAUCAAACACUAUUUUGCUUUUAUUUCUUUUUAUUUUAUGUGAUGACAACCAUUUCGAUUAUUUUUAAUUUGUCACAGUAUUGAUUGAAAUGUUGGCCCAUUAUCGAGCCAUGACUGCAAGUUGCAGGUUGUUUAUAUGACUGUUGUAUUAUAUAAUUCUAUUGUUGCUAAUGCUUAAGAUAUUUACACAAAGAAUGUGGAAACCUACAACACUUUUAAAGUAAUGUUUCGAGAGUAAUGUGUGAGCAACAUUAUAUUAUAACUAGUGUUUUAGCCUAUAACUCAUGACUGUACUAAACUUUAUCGAAAAAGAUUAUUGUAAAAUAUUUAGCUAAAUCUAUAAAAAAAUAUAUUACGUUCGUAAUGAUAGUAUAAAUUGAAAUAAUUUAAAUAGUACUCUUAUGCAAUAACAACUGUUGUACAAUAUUAACAUGUGUUGUUUGUGUAGUCCGAGAGGUGAGCGACAAGGUGCUUUUCAUAAAAAUUGUUUAAAUGAUUUUUUUACAUUAGGGCUUUUGUGAUCCCUUAACAAUAAUUAGGUGAUCUUUAGGUCAGUCAGUCUAACUAAAGCGUUAAGCAACUUAAAAGUUAUUAACAAAGGAAAUUUAUAAAACACGUGAUACGUUUGUCAAAUAGAUCUUGGAAAAAUACCAAUCAAUCACGAGUCGAAGCUAUGGAAAAUAGAGAUAUUCUGCACGAGCUUUUUCAAAGUCACGACAGUUACUAUCAAAAUUAUCACCUUGUCGUUCCCUACCCAAAUAUUUAUGAUAUGCCUAAGAAUAUUUUUGUGUGUUGUCGCAAUACUAAUUUAUAUGUAAAAAAAACUACAUUAUGCAUUCAUAGAAUAAAAUACACCUAGAGACAGUAUUCUUAACUCUUUUCCGGUAUCCUGAUUAAAACAGAAUUGUCAGAAGGAUAAACCGGCACCAAGUCUACAUUAUUAGUAAUAUACUGAAUAUAAAUUGUAAUUCGUAUUUUAAUUAUAUUUUUAUGUCAAC